UGGGGAAUUUUGCACAAUGGGGGAAACCCUGAUGCAGCGACGCCGCGUGAUUUAGAAGGCCUCCGGGUUGUAAAAAUCUUUUCUAUGGGAAGAAAAUGACAGUACCAUAGGAAUAAGGACCGGCUAAUUACGUGCCAGCAGCCGCGGUAAUACGUAAGGUCCGAGCGUUGUCCGGAAUCCUUGGGCGUAAAGGGUACGUAGGCGGGUAAGCAAGUUAGAAGUGAAAUCCUGUAGCUCAACUACAGUAAGCUUUUAAAACUGCUGAUCUUGAUAUAUGGGAGGGAGAGUGGAAUUCCUGGUGUAGAGGUGAAAUGCGCAGAUAUUAGGAGAAAUACGGGUGGCGAAGGCGAAUUUCUGGCCAUAAUCUGACGCUGAGGUACGAAGGCGUGGGUAGCAAACGGA
rnacentral:rRNA from 1 species